UACGGAGGAUCCGAGCGUUAUCCGGAUUUAUUGGGUUUAAAGGGUGCGCAGGCGGAAGAUUAAGUCGGCGGUGAAAUUUUGCAGCUCAACUGUAAAAGUGCCUUCGAUACUGGUUUCCUUGAGUGUGGAUGAAGUAGGCGGAAUUUGUGGUGUAGCGGUGAAAUGCUUAGAUAUCACGAGGAACUCCGAUUGCGCAGGCAGCUUACUAAACCACUACUGACGCUCAGGCACGAAGGCGUGGGGAUCAAACAGGAUUAGAUACCCGUGUAGU
rnacentral:rRNA from 1 species